UGCCCUCCACGCCAGCAGCGUUCAGAUACGUGGCUUUCUUACAACUCAUCUUUGCUAUUCACCGUCGAUUGAGUUGGCGGUGCUGGCCGGAGCGUUCUCCACUUCAGCUUAGCACACGACAUUAGGCAGAAUUUCUUCACCGUGAGAGUGGAGCCCAGAUGGGACACCCCAAAGGCACCGGGAUGGGACCCCCGAGACACCCCCAAACCAUGCCGGGACCCCCAAGAGGCACCGCGGCCAGAGCACCCAAAGGUACCGGGACAGGACCCCCCCAGUCAUGCCAGGAACCCCUGAAAGAACCGGGUCGGGACCCCUGACACCCCAAACCACGGCAGGAGCCCCCACAGGAGUCGGGACCCCCCCCAAAAGAGCUGAGAUGGGACCCCCCAAAGACAUGGCUCCAAGAGCCCCCUGGGACCUCCCAAAGGCGCCGGUAUGGGACCCCCAGCCCCUAGCGCAGGGCAGGGGAGGGCAAGGGAGGCACGGACUGGGGGGGGAGAGGGAGUGUGAGUGUGUGCAUGGCGGAGUGUGCACGGUGUGUGCACGAGUGUGUGUGUGUGUGUGUGCUGCGUGUGUGUGCAGGAAUGCAUCUGCACCACUCUCUGUGUGUGUGGUGCAUGCAAGAAUGUGUACAUGAGUGUGUGCAUGCCUGAGCGUACAUGUGUAUGUGUGUCCGUGCGUGCUGUGUGUGUGUGCACAGCGCAGGCAGGUAUGCAUGUGCAGGGCUGAGUGUGUUCCUGCACGUGAGUGUGCAGGGCUGUGUGUGGACUUGUGUUUGUGCAGAAGUGCAUGUGCGUGUGCACAUACGUGUGCAUGUGCUGGUGAGGGGAAGCCCCAGGGGCUCUGGGGACACCGGGGGCGAUGGGUGCUGGGGGUCCCCCGUGUCCCCCGCCUCAGCCUGCCAGCCCUCCUUGACCCCCCAUAUUUCCCCUGCAGCCCCCCUUGAGCCCCUGCCCCCCCAGGUGAGGCCACAGGUGCUGAGAAAGAAGCUGGUGAAGAAGAAGGUGCUGAGGAAGAAGAGGCCGAAGGCUCCGGCCAAGGGCGCCGCAGCCUCACACCAGCCCUAUUCUUUAUGACAGCUUUAUUGGACUUGAGUUUUAGCCUCAUGACUCACAUAAUACGUGGCUGUAUGUGAUGGGAAGACUGCUGGGAAAAUGGCAAGAGGACGAUCAACGAGAGACAGUGGAAUGCCCUUUAGAGUCUGCUGCCCGUUUGGCUGCUGAGAAGGAGGAGUCUCUGUGAAUUUGCUACUGCAUGAGACAGAUCAAAGAAUUUUAAUAAAAGUUCAGUUAUAUCUAAAUGGUAGGUGGGAAUAUGCAUAUGUAAAGCAUAUGGUAUGUAACUGUUAUUGAUAUGCUUCAAAGCACUGUAUCUCAGUGGCUAGAACAUGGGAGGAAUCUUUUAAUCUGUAUAGUUUUUUAACAAGGAUAAUUGACAUUUAGUGGCUUAAUAACAUAGACAGUUCUAUGUAGUUUAAAUCAAGCCUGGCUGUCAUACAUUUAAAUUUUCAGUAAACCACCACCAUGUUAUAUUUAGGAGCAAUUUCUUAUUACCCAUCCUAAGUGGGACGCUAGUUUUGCUAUUAAAAGGGUGGGUCUUGUUCAAAAACCCUUGAAGGUAACAGUCAGGUAGGUUAAGUCUGUGCCAUAACUGCAGUCAGCAAUUGGGUACAGGUGAAGAGUUUGCCCUUUAAAAGGCCUCUUGAUUUAGAGCUGAGUUUCUAGCUGCGUUUGCUCUGUCAUUGUUUCUUCUGUGAGUUUCAGGUAAUGAUUUUGCUUGUGGGUUUGCUUUUUAGUCUUAGAGUAAAAUUGGUUUGGAAUGUGGCAGCUUCAGAGAAAUGUUACCACAAACAUUUGCAGUCAAUGAUGUCUUGUCUUUCUUUGUUCUUUUAUUAUUAGAAGUAGGAAUUUUUUUUUUUUUGUUUAGCUUUUUUUCUUUUUUUUUGGAUAUAUUGAGGCAGAAAGGAUUUAGGCUCGGCCCAAAUGAGAUUUCCAAUGUAGUUUUGGCGAUAGGUGUUACUGGUUUUCCCAGAGCUGGUUUGUUUAAUUUGUGUUUUGUGUCAUAAGCAGUUGCAAAUUAUGUUUGCCCAGAAUUUUUUGAAGCAAUACCCAAGGAAACUGUUAGCUUGCCUAUAUUGCUGGGAGGUUUUUUUGCCUUAUCUACAUCAGUACCCGAGGACUCUAGAGAGGUAAAUAUGAGAGCAGUUUUAAAAACAUUUCCUAGGGGAGACUCAGUAAACUAUUCACCAGUAACACCUGUGACAAAUGUGCCAGGCAAGUUAUUAGAAAUGGUAACAAAGAAUGGAACUAAAGGGUAUGGGUAAGUGUGGUGUUUUUAUGGGGAAAUCCUACCGCAUGCAUCUCUCAGUUUUUUGAGGGAAACUGCAACUAUGUAAAUUAGGAUGAUUUGGUUGAUGCUGCAUUAUCUACUGUUUGUAUGGUGUCUUCUUAAGAACAGAAAAAGAAAGCUAUUCCUAUCCACUAGCUAAAACUACGUAUGGAUGUUUUUGCCCACUGGUAGAACUGUUGAUUUCUGUUGACUUACUGAAUGCGAGUAUUGGGGAGGAUGGUGGAGUUUCUGCCCUGUUUUGUGCUUUUCUGUUGUGGUUUAACUCUUGCUCAGAACUUGAAAAUGUUUUGAGUAGAGAGAACGUAAGAGGUUUUAGAUCUAGUGCCUAUUUAUACAAGAACUGUAUUUUUUAUUUUAUUUUUAGAAAAUGUUUUCACUUGUGUGGUGACUGUUCCAAAUAGUUUUGUGUAGAAAACCUUGUGUAGAAAACCUUGUGUAAAAAGCAAUGAAUAGUGAGCUCUUGCAGGGGAGUUAAGGUCACUCAGACAAGGUGAGUGAAUCUGGUCCAGAAACACUGCUUUUUGGUCAAGUAAGCAAAAUAGAAACUGAACGAUGCUCUUUCUCACCAAGCUGUGUGCAGCUGUGUGUUCCAUUGUGGCAUUUCUUGUGGUGUGUUUUCACUUUAGGAAAACAGAUCAUUUGGUUUACGCUUUGAUCCAAAUACUUUCCUGCGCUGCUUUUCUGAUAGUACUCUCGGGGUAAAAAUCAGUAUUUUUUUCAUGGUUUUUAGACUAUCUGUUUUAUGUAUUGUAUUACAUGAAACUUCAGAAUGUGAUGCAGGACAAAAUUGCUGCAAUUUUACUGUAAAUAUAGCUCAGCCCUAACUCGGUCUCUGCCAUUUCUAGAAGUUGUCCCAAAACCAUGAUGUGGCUUGGCACAGUUAAAUGCAAUUGGCAGUCUCUGUUCUGUAAAGGUACUUAAUGGAGCUGUUGUGCAGGAUGAAUUGUUUUUCGCCUCAUGAUGAAGUGCGGUUUAUGCAAGUUAGCGCAGAGGCUGCUGCCAGACCCGUCCACAUUGUCUCUCUCCACUGGAGUUGCUGUGUAUUGCAAUUCAGAUUGAAAACGUCCUUGGUUUGGUUCUGGAUCCUGCGGCCCAUUUCACACAUCCUCACGUAAAAUUUCACGCUGGGAGUAACCGAAAGAAUUGUAUAACUGGAGGGAAUGGAUAGUGCAAGCACCUUCCCAUGGAGCUAGGGAACACCUUGUGCUAAAUAGGCUCCGUUUUCCUCGGUGGGGAGAGGUGGAGAGGGUUUGCUGCUGUGCUUGAGCCUUUUACUGAUGCGAGGCCAGAGGUGAUUAUAAGAUCAGAAAGUGACCAGCAGGAGAAGCAAGAAUGAUAAUUAAGACCUGAUAUAGAUCAUCUGCCUAUGUCUUGUGUCUUUAGUCAUUGAGGAAAGGCCAAUCCAAAAAUUUCUGCUUGCCGUCCCAUAGGAAGAAGAGUUUCUUGGUAAUGAUGACAAAUUGUCAAGUCUGGAAUUCACUGGCUUUAUUAAUAUCAGGUGCUUCCUUUUUUCUUAAUUCAAUUUUAAGGCAGAGCUUCUGGAAACCAUACAAACAGUUGGGAGGGGAAGGAGCUAUCUCUGACCAAAUAUAUGCAUCUGCGUGAUCUAGGCAUGUUUCAAACUCCUUUUCCACUCAAGGUGCACAAAGGCUCCGUGCAUUUCAUAGCAUUUGUCUAUAUCCCUUUUAUUGGUAUGGCUUUUUAAUAUUUGAGCGUUUGUCAGUUUGGCUUAAAUUGCAGGCAUUAAAGGGCUUAGGCCUGAAGUUCUCUUUUGGAAGCUUACUGUAGGGCAUCUCAUAGUCCUGUAAGUGCAAUACAGCUCAAAGUAAUAAUUACCUUAGUGCUGAAUACUGUACAAAGCAAUUAUCCUGAUAGUGCUUCCCUGUCCCUAGAAUGCCAUCCACCUCUGGCUUAGAUAAGCAAAACCCCAACCAUGAAAAGCUUUUGUCUUUCUCAGUAACUGCUGUCUUGAAAACAGCUAAAUCUCUUCAAAUCAGACGUGCUCAAAAAUUAAUCUUGAGGGGAAAAAACAUCUACUGCUAUCGAUGUGGUUUAUGAUGCUGAAAAGGCGGCACAUGUGAGCGUUAGGCAUAACUGAAUACUCUAAGCCAUCGCUACUUCUAGGGGAAGAGUGGCUAGAAAGCUGCCUGGAGGAGAAGGACCUGGGGGUGUUGAUUGACAGACGACUGAACAAGAGCCAGCAGUUUGCCCAGGUGGCCAAGAAGGCCAAUGGCAUCUUGGCUUGUGUCAGAAACAGCGUGGCCAGCAGGUCCAGGGAGGUUAUUCUGCCCCUGUGCUCAGCACUGGUGAGACCGCACCUCGAAUCCUGUGUUCAGUUCUGGCCCCUAACUACAAGAAGGAUGUUGAGGCUCUGGAGCGUGUCCAGAGAAGAGCAACGAAGCUGAUGAAGGGGCUGGAGAACAAGUUUUAUGAGGUGCGGCUGAGGGAACUGGGAUUGUUUAGCCUCGAGAAGAGGAGGCUGAGAGGAGACAUUAUUGCUCUCUACAACUACCUGAAAGGAGAUUGUAGAGAGGAGGGUGCUGGCCUCUUCUCCCAAGUGGCAGGGGACAGGACAAGGGGUAACGGCCUCAAGCUGCACCAGGGGAGGUUCAAGCUGGACAUCAGAAAAAAAAAAAUUCACAGAAAGGGUCAUUGGGCACUAGCAGAGGCUGCCCAGGGAGGUGGGUGAGUCACCAUCCCUGGUGGGAUUUAAAAGACGGAUAGACGAGGUGCUCGGGGACAUGGUUUAGUGGUUGAUAGGAAUGGUUGGACUAGAUGAUCCCAGAGGUCUUUUCCAACCUAGUGAUUCUAUGAUUCUAUGCAUCUUGAAAUAUUUGAAUGUAUAGAAGUAGUAGGAGUCACUGAGAAAUAUUUUUUUGUGUGUGUGUGUUUGGAUUUGUAAAGCUUGAUGUUUGGAUCUAAUGAUUCUGUACAGUUCAGUAGAUUUUACACUUAUAAUGCCUUUUUAAUCAUGCAAGGUAUAACCCAUGUGAUUUAAAGACAGAAGAGAGGAGGACGAAUACAUGCACAAAAACGCUAGCACCGAAACAUGAAUUAAAGGUCCGUCUGAUUAUUUCUGACCUGAUGAACUGUUUUCUGAACCAAUACUCACUCAGGGGUCAAGGUUCACAACUUGAAAUAUGUCCAACUCCAAUGGAAAGACAGACUCUUUAUGGUUGUGCACUUCUCACUGUAUAGCAUGCUUUAUAAAUUAAAUACUUAUAACUAAAUGCAGUAAUGAAUAUGACUUUGCAAUUUCAGUCGUGAUAUUGCUCGUUUUAAAAGCUUGCGUCACCAUCAAAUAAAUAUUUUCUGUCUUCUGUCUAUA